rnacentral:lncRNA from 1 species
UUGAUAUCUCUUGGAGAUGAUACAUUAUCUCAGCUCUCUGCCUGCUCUAUGCUGUGUCUAUGGGCAGUUCCUUCUAUGGUCUUUGUAACAGUGACCUGUUACCGGUGGACUGGGGGCCAACACGCAUGGAAUGGGAUUGGGUGCACAGGGUUACAAACUGAGAAUUGAUUACAAAGCGUCGUUAUAUGGUUUGAUCUGUGC